UAAUAAUAAUAGUAAUAAUAAUAGAAGUUUGAUUACCUUGACUGCUUGUCAAGGCUUGGAGAAUUAAUCGGAUUAGAAUAAGUUCGAGUUGUGAGGUGCAAGCUUGAGUCUAUACUUGGUUUCAUAUGCCAUAUUAUUUAUGUUGCACCUGAGCCUGACUUGUGCUAUAUGCGCAUCCUGGCCCAUUAGUAGGUAAUAUCCUUAAUCUCAUUUAUAGAAAAAUUUAUAGAAUUUGCAGUAGGCCGAUAAAAAAAAAAAUUGACACCAACUUGAAUCGAAAAGUCUCAUGGCACCCUCAACUUUUAUUGAGUUGUUUGACUCUUAUAGUUUUAUUUGUGUAACCAAUAGAUCCUUGUUCGAACCCAUUACCAAUUAGUUUGUUUCAUGAUUCCUUAUUAUUAUUAUUAUUAUUAU
rnacentral:misc_RNA from 1 species